UACGUAGGGAGCAAGCGUUGUCCGGAAUCAUUGGGCGUAAAGAGCGCGUAGGCGGCCCUGUAAGUCCGUUCUGAAAGUCAAAGGCUCAACCUUUGAAAGCGGAUGGAUACUGCAGGGCUAGAGUCCGGAAGAGGCGAGUGGAAUUCCUGGUGUAGCGGUGGAAUGCGCAGGAUAUCAGGAGGAACACCAACGGCGAAGGCAGCUCGCUGGGACGGUACUGACGCUGAGGCGCGAAGCG
rnacentral:rRNA from 1 species